rnacentral:rRNA from 1 species
GCCAGCAGCCGCGGUAAUUCCAGCUCCAAUAGCGUAUAUUAAAGUUGUUGUGGUUAAAAAGCUCGUAGUUGGAUCUCAACAGCCUUGAAGCGGUUAACUUUGUAGUUUUACUGCUUUAUAGGCUGUGCUUUUGCUGGAGGUUUAGGGGUGCUCUUGAUCGAGUGUCUCUGGAUGCCAGCAGGUUUACUUUGAAAAAAUUAGAGUGCUCAAAGCAGGCUAAAAUGCCUGAAUAUUCGUGCAUGGAAUAAUAGAAUAGGAUGUCGAUCCUAUUUUGUUGGUUUUCGGGACUCGACAUAAUGAUAAAUAGGGACAGUCGGGGGCAUUUGUAUUCAAACGACAGAGGUGAAAUUCUUGGACCGUUUGAAGACAAACUACCGCGAAAGCAUUUGCCAAGAAUGUUUUCAUUAAUCAAGAACGAAAGUUAGAGGUUCGAAGGCGAUUAGAUACCGCCCUAGUUCUAACCAUAAACGAUGCCAGCUAGCGAUCUGCCUGCGUUUUUACUGUAGACUGGGCAGGAAGCUUCCGGGAAACCAAAGCAUUUGGGUUCCAGGGGAAGUAUGGUUGCAAAGCUGAAACUUAAAGGAAUUGACGGAAGGGCACCACCAGGAGUGGAGCCUGUGGCUUAAUUUGACUCAACACGGGAAAUCUCACCAGGCCCGGACACUGGAAGGAUUGACAGAUUGAGAGCUCUUUCUCGAUUCGGUGGGUGGUGGUGCAUGGGCCGUUCUUAGUUGGUGGAGUGAUUUGUCUGGUUAAUUCCGAUAACGAACGAGACUCUGUCCUGCUAAAUAGUUGGGUCGUCCUUCGUGCGAUCCAAGUUCUUCUUAGAGGGACUGGCUGCGUCUAGCAGCACGAGAUUGAGCAAUAACAGGUCUGUGAUGCC